rnacentral:tRNA from 1 species
GCGAGCGUGGUUCAAUGGUAGAACAUCAGCUUCCCAAGCUGAUAACGCGGGUUCGAUUCCCGUCGCUCGCUCCA